CACAUCUGGAAUAUCUAGUCCCACACACAGGUGUCUUGACUUGGUGAUCUCACACAGUUGUCUCAAUGUGUCACACAGGUAUUAUUAAAGCCAUCUCACAUGUGCUUUGUCUCC